rnacentral:rRNA from 1 species
UACAGAGGGUGCAAGCGUUGUUCGGAAUCAUUGGGCGUAAAGCGCACGUAGGCGGCUUCGCAAGUCAGGUGUGAAAGCCCAGGGCUCAACCCUGGAAGUGCAUUUGAAACUGCGAGGCUUGAAUGUCGGAGAGGGCAGUGGAAUUCCGAGUGUAGAGGUGAAAUCCGUAGAUAUUCGGAGGAACACCAGUGGCGAAGGCGACUGCCUGGACGAACAUUGACGCUGAGGUGCGAAAGCGUGGGGAGCAAACAGG